AAGAUCGAGACCAUUCUGGCCAACAUGGUGAAACCCCAUCUCUACUAAAAUAGAAAAAUCAGCCGGGCGUGAUGGCAUGUACCUGUAGUCCCAGCUACUCGGGAGGCUGAGGCAGGAGAAUCGCUUGAACCCGGGAGGUGGAGGUUGCAGUGAGCCAAGAUCGCGCCACUGCACUCCAGCCUGGUGACAGAGUGAGACUCCGUCUCAAAAAAAAAAAAAAAAUAAUAAUAAUAAUAAAGGCAAGGGGUUUUCCAUACGCACAUACAUACAUAUACGCACGUAUAUGUUUUUCCUCCCACAGACCUACUCAGGCCUCUUCUGUGUCACUGUCAACCCCUACAAGUGGCUGCCGGUGUACAACCCCGAGGUGGUGGAAGGCUACCGAGGCAAAAAGCGCCAGGAGGCCCCACCCCACAUCUUCUCCAUCUCUGACAACGCCUAUCAGUUCAUGCUGACUGAUCGUGAAAACCAGUCCAUUCUGAUCACCGGAGAAUCCGGGGCAGGAAAGACUGUGAACACCAAACGGGUCAUCCAGUACUUUGCAACAAUUGCAGCUACUGGGGACCUGGCCAAGAAGAAGGACUCCAAAAUGAAGGGGACUCUGGAAGAU
rnacentral:sRNA from 1 species